rnacentral:rRNA from 1 species
UACGGAGGGGGCUAGCGUUGUCCGAAGUUACUGGGCGUAAAGCGCGCGUAGGCGGGUUGGUAAGUCCGCUGUGAAAGCCCGGAGCUCAACUCCGGAGGGUCGGUGGAUACUGCCCAUCUUGAAGGUGCUAGGGGGAGAUGGAAUUACCGGUGUAGCGGUGAAAUGCGUAGAGAUCGGUAGGAACACCAGUGGCGAAGGCGGUCUCCUGGAGCAUACUUGACGCUGAGGCGCGAAAGCUGGGGGAGCGAACGGG